ACAAAAUGUCAAAAUCCAAAUGAGAAGCUCAAAAAUCCACAGAAGAAAAAAACCUUUCCAGGUGAUUUGAGUUUGUGAUGCAGUGUUUCCAAAGACGGCUUGCCCUGACAAGAUCUGAAGAGAAAAAAAAGAAGAAAAGUUAGGAAUGACAUUCAUAAACAUUUUUCGCAAAAGGCAAUUAUGCUUAGUCCACACUGGGACAAAGCAUAAUUGGGUAUCGAACGUGAGGUGAUUGUAAAAGUUGGACCUCGCACUAAUCAAUGAAAGACACCAAUCAUCAAUGAGAUCAAACCAAAUUAGUAAAAAUAGCUUAAUUGGUGUAUGUUGGACCUUCUUAGCUUGUCUUGGGAAAAACAAACUCUAGAAUUUGACAAGGCAAUAAAAGAAAUCAUGAUUGUACGAGAACUGAAUAGAUUUGAUUAAAAAAUACAUUGACUUCUGUUAGA